rnacentral:rRNA from 1 species
CCUACGGGAGGCAGCAGUAGGGAAUCUUCGGCAAUGGACGGAAGUCUGACCGAGCACCGCCGCGUGAGUGAAGAAGGUUUUCGGAUCGUAAAGCUCUGUUGUAAGAGAAGAACGAGUGUGAGAGUGGAAAGUUCACACUGUGACGGUAUCUUACCAGAAAGGGACGGCUAACUACGUGCCAGCAGCCGCGGUAAUACGUAGGUCCCGAGCGUUGUCCGGAUUUAUUGGGCGUAAAGCGAGCGCAGGCGGUUAGAUAAGUCUGAAGUUAAAGGCUGUGGCUUAACCAUAGUACGCUUUGGAAACUGUUUAACUUGAGUGCAAGAGGGGAGAGUGGAAUUCCAUGUGUAGCGGUGAAAUGCGUAGAUAUAUGGAGGAACACCGGUGGCGAAAGCGGCUCUCUGGCUUGUAACUGACGCUGAGGCUCGAAAGCGUGGGGAGCAAACAGGAUUAGAUACCCUAGUAGUC